UACGGAGGGUGCAAGCGUUGUUCGGAAUUAUUGGGCGUAAAGCGCGUGUAGGCGGCUUUGCAAGUCGGGUGUGAAAGCCCUCAGCUCAACUGAGGAAGUGCGCCCGAAACUGCAGAGCUUGAGUACCGGAGAGGAUGGCGGAAUUCCCCAAGUAGAGGUGAAAUUCGUAGAUAUGGGGAGGAACACCGGUGGCGAAGGCGGCCAUCUGGACGGAUACUGACGCUGAGACGCGAAAGCGUGGGGAGCAAACAGG
rnacentral:rRNA from 1 species